GAUGAACGCUGGCGGCGUGCCUAAUACAUGCAAGUCGAGCGAACAGACGAUGAUCUUGCGCCUCUCACGUUAGCGGCGGACGUGUGAGUAACACGUGUAUAACCUACCUAUCAUACUGGUAUAACUUCGAGAAACCGGAGCUAAUACCGUAUAAUAUAUUGAUCCGCAUGGUUCGAUAGUGAGAUACGGUUGUUCUGUCACUUAUAGAUGGAUCCGCGCCGCAUGAGCUAGUUGUUAGGUUAACGGCUUACCAAGGCAACGAUGCGUAGACGAACUGAGAGGGUGAUAGGCGACAGUAGAAGUGAGACGCGCUCAAGAGUACUAAGAGAGGCAGCAGUAGGGAAUGGUAGGCAACGGGCGAAAGUAUGACGGAGCAACGGGGAGUGAGUGAUGACGGUCUUCGGAUCGUAAAACUCGGUUAUUAGGGAAGAACCAAUGUGUCAGUAAACAUGCCCGUAUUGACGGUAACUAAUAAGAAAGCACCGGCUAACUACGUG
rnacentral:rRNA from 1 species